UUGUAAUGAGCAUAAGCUCACCUUUACUUUGAAGUACUUCUUUCUUGCUUUAUUUGAUAUGCAUGAAAAGGAAGUAAUUGGGUCCAACGCCCCUAUGACAACACGCCUUAAUAUGAUUAAACGCGUAAUUAAAAUCAAUCUCCAUCCCUAGACCGAGAUUCAACACAAGGCUCGUGUUGAAUCUAAACAAAGGUUCAUAAUCAUCCUAAGGCCCUAAGGCAACUAUAUAGUCCAUCAAAUGAAAGCAAACCUUAUGUUAGUAGUAACAUAUACUCUUGCUUUAAAAACCGUUUUAAAAGCAUAGUGGGAGUAUUAUGUACAACUAAAACAAUCAAAUGGACCAAUAGUUGUAAGAGGACCAAAAUUGUUUUAAUAGAGAUUAAAAUGAAUGUUUAUAUGUGAUGAGACCUAAAACCCUCAACCAAACCAAUAUUAAGUUGAUAAGCGGAGAGUGCUUAGAACACUCUUUCGUGGCCUUCCACCGUGGUAGGCUUCAAUCGUGUGUGACUCAUACACCGUAUUCGUCCAAUUCUGGGGUUGCAAAGUAUGUGCUUACAUUCAGGAGAAGCCUACACAUAUGAUGAAGUGAAAGGUAGGCAACGAGUGUGGCCAAUAUGGAGUUCUUCUGAGGCCAUUCUUGAACCCCUACUUGAACUAGCAUGGUGGGAAUGACUUAACUAAGUGCAAUAGUGCCAAUAUGG
rnacentral:lncRNA from 1 species